AGUGAUGAAGGGUUUCGGCUCGUAAAACUCUGUUGUUGGAGAAGAACAGGUGAUAGAGUAACUGUUAUCAUCUUGACGGUAUCCAACCAGAAAGCCACGGCUAACUACGUGCCAGCAGCCGCGGUAAUACGUAGGUGGCAAGCGUUGUCCGGAUUUAUUGGGCGUAAAGCGAGCGCAGGCGGUUUUUUAGGUCUGAUGUGAAAGCCUUCGGCUUAACCGGAGAAGGGCAUCGGAAACCGGGAGACUUGAGUGCAGAAGAGGACAGUGGAACUCCAUGUGUAGCGGUGAAAUGCGUAGAUAUAUGGAAGAACACCAGUGGCGAAGGCGGCUGUCUGGUCUGUAACUGACGCUGAGGCUCGAAAGCAUGGGUAGCGAACAGGAUUAGAUACCCUGGUAGUCCAUGCCGUAAACGAUGAGUGCUAAGUGUUGGAGGGUUUCCGCCCUUCAGUGCUGCAGCUAACGCAUUAAGCACUCCGCCUGGGGAGUACGACCGCAUGGUUGAAACUCAAAGGAAUUGACGGGGGCCCGCACAAGCGGUGGAGCAUGUGGUUUAAUUCGAUGCUACGCGAAGAACCUUACCAGGUCUUGACAUCUUCUGCUAACCUAAGAGAUUAGGCGUUCCCUUCGGGGACGGAAUGACA
rnacentral:rRNA from 1 species